rnacentral:lncRNA from 1 species
GAACAUCCUCCUUUUUGGCAAACGUCCACAGACUCUUCUUCGGAAAAACCAAAUUGCAUAUGUUUGGAGCCUGUCCAACACUUCCUCCAUUUGGGUCAAAGUUCUUUUAUAUGAAACACAUUCUCCUGCAAAUGAAGUUCCAAAGACAAUGUUGCAUGACGUCCAAAUCCAAACUAUAAGUGCAAAAGCAUACAGGAAGCUGGAUGUCCUGGUGUGGAGAUCUCGCAUACCCCCAUACCAUAACUACACUAUGAGGUGUGAGAUAGAGGCAGCACAAGAGAUGAUGUCCAAGAAGAAGCGGCCUCACUCCAUGGUGUAAUUCAGGUCAUCUGCAAAUGAGCACACAACCUCAGUUUGUUGCUAUUCACUUCAUUGGCAGGUUUUAUUAUUGCAAUCAAAUUUGAAUGGUGAUAUGCAUAAUAGGAUCUAUCUGUUUCUUGCAAUGAGCUCUUUUUUCUUAUUUUAUAUCAAAUAGGUUACGCACUCUGCUAAUCCUUUGCAGUUUGUAGUUCAGUUUAUGUGCAUUUGUCCUCUGUACGCAGCAGUUUGUAACCUGGGCGACAAGACUCUCAUAGGAAACUACAACUCAUGAGAAAAUACAAUCAUAUUCAGUGACUUAUGUGCAGUGCAGAAAUGCAUGAUCUGACCUCGGAAUAUACAGAGACUAUGAUGGCUUGUUUCGUUUCGUUUAACUUCCUGUGAAAUUCCUGCUUUCCAAAUGCAGCAUUAGUUUGGCCCAGUAGAAAACAUAUAGUAAUCACAGAGAAACUCGCAGGAAUCUACCCAGCCCUCGUGUAAGAAUUAGUCAACAAUUGGAGGCAACAAAGGACUGGUCCAUUAAUACAUCAUGGUGGAAAAUGUUGCGUCUAGAUAAUGUGUGAACAUGACGACUCCUUGCAGCUUAUCUUACAGCAUUUAGGUAGCUCGCCUGGCAGUUAGAGGCCAGAGAUGAACUGAAAACAGGAACUCAAAUCAAACAUCGUAAUGGAAACGUUCAUUUCUGCAAUCCUUGGUGAUCUUUUCAGCAGAUCAGUAUCUUUUGUCCUCAACAAUUACCAUCUACGGCGGCAGAAGGGCGUCAAGGACAACCUGCAAGAGCUGCGCUGCGUGUUGCUGCGCAUCCAGGCCACCGCGGAGGAGGCUGAGGGGCGGCACAUCACCAACCAGGCCAUGCUCCAUCAGCUCCAGAUGCUGAGAGAAGCCAUGAACAAAGGCUGCUACCUGCUUGAUAAUUUCACAUACCGGAUGCUGCAGCAGGAGAGUUCCAAUGUUCAGGUUAGCGACCACCCCUUUCCCCUGUCCAAAUUCAAUCCAGCAAAGGGCCUGCGCUUCUCUACCAGGAGGAUGAUCGUUGCAUUUCAAGGUGAUGGGGCGAAGGAGGUUCAGAAGAUGCUAGGAAGCUUGCAUAGCAUAAUCAGCGAUAUGGCAGAGUUCAUCAUCUUCUUGAAAUCAUAUCCUCCCAUAAGCCGCGAGCCUUAUAGCAAGCACUUGUUUCUGGAGAACUGCAUGUUUGGCCGCCAGACAGAGCUGGAGAAGAUCAUCAGUUUCUUGUUGCAGCCAGAGCCUCCAGGCACAGAAAGAUUGCAAGUGUUACCCAUAACUGGUCCACCGAGAGUUGGUAAAAGCACCCUUGUUGAACAUGUAUGUUAUGAUGAGAGGGUGCGCAAUCACUUUUCCACAAUUAUUCUAUGUAGAGAUCCUACUGCUCCAGAAGGCAGUGGUGUGGUCAAGAAGCAAAGUCAUAGUUUACAUGGAAGAUCACUAAUUGUCAUGGAGCUUGCUGAUGAUUUGGUUGUAGAUGAAAGGCAAUGCAGAAACUUCUACUCUUCAAGAAACCACAUGUCACCUGGAAGUAAAGUUAUUGUGACAAGCAGAUCAGAGAAUAUAAUGAAACUUGGUACUACAGCAGCUCUUAAGUUGGAUUUUUUAUCUCAGGAAGCUUACUGGUACUUCUUCAAAGUGAUGGCUUUUGGAAGCACAAAUCCUGAUGACCACCCAGCGCUAGCAUCAAUAGCUAUGGAAAUUGCAGCAGGGCUUCAAGGAGGUUUCUUGGGUGCACAUGCCAUCUGCGGCUUUCUAAGAGCUAAUAUCCACAAUUGGUUUUGGAACAUGAUCCUUGAAUGUCAGAGAAACAAUAUAGAGAGGAAUAUCCUCAUCUUUGGUGAACAUCCACAGUCUCUUCUUUGGAAGAGCCAGAUUGCAUAUGUUUGGACUCUGUCCAACAUUUCCGUGAGGGUCAAAGUUCUUCAUUUUCAAACACGUUCCCCUCUGAAUGAUGUCCGAAAAUAAUGUUGCAUGAAGUCCACACAAGUGCAAAAGCUCAUGGGAAGCUGGACGUCCUGGUGUGGGAAAUCGGGGCAUACCCCCAUAUCACAGCUACAUUAUGAAGUGUGAGAUUGAGGCACCAGAAGACAUGAUGGUCAAGAAGAAGCGCCCUCCUUCUUAUCUGCAAAUAUGAACAUUUCCUUGAUGUUGAAUUCAUUGGCUGUUUUCAUCGUUGAGAUCAAAUAUCAAAUGUGAAGGGUGACGUUCAAAUACACCACUAGUGAACAAAUCUAUCUGUUUCUUACAGUGAUCUCUUCUCCAUAUUUUUUCUAUAAAUUAAAGUGCAAGCUCUGCUCUUGUAAAUGCUUUGUUGUUGAGUUGUUGUAAAAUGCAAGCUCUGACAUUCCUUUGUAGUUAGUACAUAUCAUUCAGCCUGUGUGCAGACAUACUUUAUAUUUCCUGUACCCAGUAGUUUGUAAUCAGGGUGACAAGACUCUGACUGGUGGAGAAUAUCAUUAUAUUCACACAUAUUUAAAAAACUCGAACCUGAACCUGCUGUAUGCUAUUCAUGUGCUCUAACCAUUGGACUAGAUAUCUUUUUGCCGCUCCUUAUUUUGUGGACGGAGGUAGUAGAAAUGUACGAUAUGAUCUCAAAAUAUAUAUAAAAAAGGCAUUGUGGGAUUGUUUAUAUUCACUAAGGUCUGUAUUACUGCCUGCAGAAUUUCUGCUUUCCAAACAUGGCCUUCAUUUGGCCCACUAGAAACUAUAUAAUGUUCUAUCUUCCCUGCUCACAUUGUCAUAACUCAGAGCAAAUCGCCCCUAAGCUACAACACUCGUUCCUCCAUUCAUCAUUUUAUUCAUUAACGCCUAUCAAAUUUUUAAAUUUACUCUAGAAUUCUGGAUCUUUAAUUGGACAAUGGAAAAAGGGAAAAACUGUUUUAUUUAAUAUAUGCAUAAAAAAUCACAAUAAAAAAGAUAGGUGGAAUGCACCUGCGGUAGUCACUCUGGUUAUUUACAUUUUGUUCACCCUCUAUUUAACAAAACAACAUACUGUUCACCAGGGGAAUCAUAUCUAAAUUCUAAUGGUCCAAUCCAUGUGCACACCACUUGCCACAUCUCAAGUAAAAUUGCGACUAAGCUAUAGCACUCUGCAUUCGUUGGUUUAUUUAUUUAUGGUUUGUAUCUGGUAGAAAAUAUUAUAACAUCCCAAAGGUAAAGGUAUGAAACUGGAUUAGCUUAUCUGCACAUCCAAUAAACUCUAGAAUUUGGAUAUGUAAUUCAACAAUGGGAAAUAAGAACACUAUUUCCUUUAAUCUUUGUAAAAAGAAAAUUCAAUAAGAAUGACCAACCAAGCACAAAACCGGAGAAUCGUAAUCUUCUGUACCGUACCAGCAGUUUUCCAUAACAAUUCCCAUUUUCCUUUAAGACUUUUUUGGUUAUGUACUUUGCAUGACAUUAGACCAAAGAACCAUCUUUUCUAGACCGAACACUGAAUCUGUCUAACUAUCUACAGCUUGCUGUUGUCUAGUCAAUUUUGAGAAAGCCCAUUGCUUCGUCCCAACCUUCAAAGUCUCAACGACAACACUACAGGUCUACAGCAGAUGGCUGCUACGCUCAGUCACAACUCACAACGCGUUCAACCUAAUCAGCAUAUGCGUUCGACCAGAAUUAAUCGAAACCUGCAACAUUUGGGCCGCAACACUGAAUCUAACUAUCUACAUCGAAGCACUGAGAUACAACAUGCUCAAAGAAGGAUGGGAUUAACAGCUUACCAUGGCAUCGGCGGCAGAGGGCAGGCGUGCCGUGGGAGGGCGCGCGCGCAGCGGUCAGGAUCUCUGCGUGCUGCGGCAUCCACUGAUGCCGUCGCCCUCGUGGGCAUCCGCGGGACAUGACGGAUCGGGAAUAGGUUGGGAGCUUGACUGGGAAGCAGACAACGAGUCAGAAAAUCAGGGCAACCGUCGCGGGAGACAUGGGCCUUCGAUGGGCCGAU